GGGGGCGAUUAGGAUUCGACGCUGGUUACAAAACUCAAGGUGCAUGUCGUGAGGGUAGCUAAUCACGUUAAUCCAAAGCUGCAAACUUAUAGUUGCAAACGAUGCUAACUACGAAGGUGCUGCGCUAGCCGCAUAACCCUUCACUCUAGCGGCUUGUCCGCUAGCGGUUCAUAUCAAGGUGUCAGUACCGCGGUAUUAACUGUCAAACAGAACUGAAUCGCAGUGUCCAUUCUGAUCGCGGUGGCAUAGCUAAAUAACAGCGGACUCACCUCUUACGUCCUGCCCGUCGGGCUGUUCUGAGGCUAAAUUAAUUGACGGAAUCUAAACAUGUAGAGCCGCGAGCAGAGUGCUGACGGACGGGGGUUCAAAUCCCCCCGCCUCCACCA
rnacentral:tmRNA from 1 species